UGAUCAGGUAUUGGGGGGGCAGGAAAUCACAAUGUUUUUCGUAAAAAUAAAGUACUGGUUUAAGUUGGAUACCUAAAAGCUUGAAUGAACUAUUGCAUAUCUUGUACAGAAAACCACCUCAUCCAGUAGCACGAUUCCACUGAAACAGUAGUUGUGACCUAGGAGGCCGCUGAGCUGGUCCAGUGCUCACCUAGCAUGCACAGGAUCUGGGUUGCAUCCCCAGCACAGCGUGUGACCACAAGGCAGAGAGAGAUCACGUCUGUAAGUCAGCACUCAGUCAGUGGAGGAUCAACAGUUAAAGACUCAGCAAGAAAUCAUUUAGAGAAGAAUAAGAUUAUUAUCAGUCAUCUCCCAUGCCAACGUUGUAUAAAAAGUUUUAAUCAUGCUGGCAAGAACAUGAAGAAUUGGCAAGAAUAUAUUUAAAGUCAACUGAAUGAAGAAAGGUCUAAGAAAUGCAGGAUGGAAGUGAGGUUAGGUAGGAAUUAAGCAAAUAGUACACGUUAAGACAACAGUCUGUAUAUUCAUACUUAAAUAAAAGUUGGGUGAAAUCAUUUCCA